CGCGUAGGCGGCUUGUACAGUCAGACGUGAAAUUCCUGGGCUCAACCUGGGGGCUGCGUUUGAUACGUGCGGGCUUGAGUUCGGAAGAGGGUCGUGGAAUUCCCAGUGUAGAGGUGAAAUUCGUAGAUAUUGGGAAGAACACCGGUGGCGAAGGCGGCGACCUGGUCCGAUACUGACGCUGAGGCGCGAAAGCGUGGGGAGCAAACG
rnacentral:rRNA from 1 species